rnacentral:tRNA from 1 species
GUCUUUUUAAUAUAAGAAAUAUAAGUGACUUCCAAUCACUUAAUUUUAGUUAAAUCUAAAAAAAGACA